GAUGAACGCUAGCUACAGGCUUAACACAUGCAAGUCGAGGGGAAACGCUGAGAGAGCUUGCUCUCUUAGGCGUCGACCGGCGCACGGGUGAGUAACGCGUAUCCAACCUACCCAUUACAGGGGGAUAACCUUGCGAAAGUAAGACUAAUACCCCAUGGCAUUUUAUGGUGGCAUCAUUAUAGGAUUAAAGAUUUAUUGGUAAUGGAUGGGGAUGCGUCUGAUUAGCUUGUUGGCGGGGUAACGGCCCACCAAGGCAACGAUCAGUAGGGGUUCUGAGAGGAAGGUCCCCCACAUUGGAACUGAGACACGGUCCAAACUCCUACGGGAGGCAGCAGUGAGGAAUAGUGGUCAAUGGGCGAGAGCUUGAACCAGCCAAGUAGCGUGCAGGAUGACGGCCCUAUGGGUUGUAAACUGCUUUUAUAGGGGAAUAAAGUGAGCUACGUGUAGUUUAUUGCAUGUACCCUAUGAAUAAGGACCGGCUAAUUCCGUG
rnacentral:rRNA from 1 species